rnacentral:rRNA from 1 species
UGCCAGCAGCCGCGGUAAUACGGAGGGGGUUAGCGUUGUUCGGAAUUACUGGGCGUAAAGCGCACGUAGGCGGCUUGUUUAGUUAGGGGUGAAAGGCCUGGGCUCAACCUGGGAACUGCCCUUAAUACUGGCAAGCUUGAGACCGAGAGGGGGUGGUGGAACUCCCAGUGUAGAGGUGAAAUUCGUAGAUAUUGGGAAGAACACCAGUGGCGAAGGCGGCCACCUGGCUCGGAACUGACGCUGAGGUGCGAAAGCGUGGGGAGCAAACAGGAUUAGAUA